ACAAAAGCUGUUACAGGGACCAAGUGCCAAGAGGGGUCUUGAUCGAUGGGUGACCUUGUGGGUGCCAAACGUGAAGGCGUUUCAGCAGCCUGAAGGCUCCUGGCUUUGGAUGACCUUUUUUUCCUUUUUGUCUUUUCCAGGGUGACCGUGCGGAGAAGGAAGGGCCCGAACGAAACAUUCCUGGCUGUCCUCUUCCCCGGGCAUUUUGCACCCAAGCAGUGAAGUUAAAAAUGAAUCCUAAAACUUUUCAUCUUGACCUCUCGCAAUGCCUCCCAGCACCAAACUCCUUCCGCAGAGAUGCAGGGCGCCGUACUUCAAAUAUCCUAAAUGGAUUUGCCUCGAUAACGGGAAAUUGGGGUUGAAUAAAAAUAGUUCUUUGUGUUUGAGGGCAGGCAGCCCAGCACACAGAUGUUGCAGUUUUUCCCUGAUUUUUGAGUGUUUACCCCCCUAUUCCUGCAGUGACCAAGGGCCCCCCACUAUGGAUUUAUCCCCCCCAAAUACCAUAGUCGUUUGUGCAUUUCUCUGAGCUAAGAAAAACACGAUAAAUCUGCAGUGCCUUAUGAUUUCAAGGUGCGGAAAAGGAGUAAAUUCUACCACAGUGGCUGCAAACAGCUUGAUCUCAAUCAUGACCAUAUUUUAGGGGGGAUAAAAGUGCUGGGAAUGGGGCUGAUCUGCGUCGGGGGGAAGAUCUCUAUUGCCAUCGAGGCAUUUCCAAGCGGGAUUCGGCUUUGCCGGCUCUGCGGCAGGCGCUCCCUUCCCCCACAGUGCCACGUAGGAGAUCCUGCAGCCGGCAGUGGGAUGGGGAGAGGAUCGGGAAGGGGGAGCGAUACUGGGAGUUGCCUUCUUCCGUCUCCUCUGCUGCUUUAAUGAGGGGGCCCAGCUGCCAAGAGACACAGCCGUGCUCCAGCACAGCUCCUCCGCCCCGGCCGCCCGUCUUUUCAACGCGCUUGCGCGCAGGCCAAAACUCGCAUUUCUUUUGCCGCGAGCUAUUUCGAGUGCGGUUAUGUUUCCCGGGGACAGAGAGUCUUUGCUUUAGAAAGGGGCAAAUCUACUAAGCUAAGACAUACAAAAAGCCCAGACAGCGUUUGAUAGGGAUCUGAUGUCGCAUGCUCCGACAAACUGGAUGGAGAUUUACUGCUGGGCUGGGGGGAGCUGCUGGGGCAGGGGAAAGUCCGCCGGGUCUUGGGAUCCUGCACCCAACCCUGCAUUAAACAACAGCCGUAAAACAUCUGGGCUACUGCGCAGCCGUAAAACAUCUGGGCUAAUGCCAUCCUGGCUGGUUGGCUUGGCUUUUUAUAAAGCAGCCUUACUAACUCACUUCAUUGCUUAUUAAAGAAGCAUUUUAUUUCCUGCAAAUAUACAUGAAACCAAACAUUGGAGUCUAACAGGCUCUUUGGACAGGACUUUUUAGUAUAAACUCCAGCAGCUUUGCAUAUUUACCCUUUCCUGUAGGCUGCAGUGACCUGGGAGACUGACUGAGGUGCCCACGUGAGGGAUUGAGUCAGACGUCUUUUAAACUGACCCGAGACACCGCUGGUGCCGGAUUUCUGCUUUCCAGGAUCAGGCAGGGUCUGUAGCAACGCCAGCAAUGAAGGUGAUUUCUAGAGAGGAGACGCAGAGUCCCUUCUUGCAGCUCCCACCUUUAAUGGGAUGGUGGGUUGAAGGUAUCCACCAGGUCCCACAGUCCAAGAGCAUGGAGCUGGGUAGAAACUAAUGAGAGAUCAUGCAAAAAGAAAUUACAGACAGUCCUUUUCCACACAGCUGUAUCCACAGGAGACAGAUGGGCUCAGCUGGUUCAAAAAUGCGUUAGACAGAUUCAUGGACGGUGCUUCCAUAAGCAGACACCAACGGGAAUACGCGGGGAUGUGCUCAGGUCUCCUGAAGUCUCGCACUGAGCAGUGAUUUUGAACAUCCAGGUUUUGGGGGGGUUUCUGAGUCCAGAGCAAAUUUUAUGGAUCAUUUUUCCGGAUCUGAAUGGGAAGACUAGGACCUCAUCUCUCCGUACUGAGAGGAGCCUUCCCUCGUCAACUGUGGGCAGCCCUGGGGAGCGGUGCAGCCCCUUGGUGUGGGAAGGACGGGAUUAACCGGGACAGCAAUGGAAACCUGCUCUUACUAGAUGCAUCUGGGGAAUUUUGACAGUCAAAGUAUGUGGAAUACAUGGAAUAUUCCCAUUUUAAAAGGUCAAGUUAAUGGCACUGAGCCAUGAGGCAUGAAUGAAUUCGGCUAACCUGCUUUCAAAAACUGAGAUUUGAGCCUGUGAUUUUUGCAAGCCUGCAUAUUUUGAAGACGCUCAGCCUGUCGGAGACCCCCUUCCCCACAUCCCCCUCUGGGAAACUCAGUUAUCUCUGGGGUUUCCCUGUGCUGCAGUUAAGGAAGGCAGGGAUGCUCGGAGCCAGCAUGCAUCUGGCAGUGAAGCUGCAAAGCCAUCCUGGUGCUGGAGCUCUCUUGGAGGGAGCUGUGAUGUGCACAGCACCUGGCAGGAUUGGGCCGUGGGGCGUUUGAGGUGAUGGGAACUGUAAGGAUCAUGGCGGGGGCAGUGAAGAUGAUAUUGUUCCUCCUUGCAGCCUCCACCAGGUAACAGCUGAAACAUCUUUUAUUUCCACGGCAGCUUCUCUGCAGUGGCGUUAUCCACCCCUGAGCCACGGAGGGGCUGGCCCGAACCCUUGACGAACACGGUCAAGGCCUGAAGCUCUCUGGCUUUGAAGGAGCAAGUUCAGGUGGGGGGUCCAGCGCUGGUCCCCAAGGCAGGACCACGUGUUGUGAGGGUUCCCCAUCCAGAGCUUGCCUGGCUCCCUGGGCACCCACGUGCAAAGUCUCCGGUGGGAUCCUGCUUCUCUGCUUAGCACAAGGGCAAAUUCAGGAUCGGCACUUUAAUUUUCCAUUUGUAACAACCUCCUUUGCCACUCGGCUGCCUCCCUUUGGCAUCGUCCAGCCUCUUUGCCCAGGGGUAAAUGGUUUUCUCUUGGUCCUUAGCCUUCUGCAGAGCUUGUGAGUAGCAGGGAGGGACGUGACAUGUCUGUCCUCAAAACUCAUCCACGCAGUUCAAGAUGUCACGGAGCGGUGACUUUGCAGACCGCGAUGUCUCGGGCUCGGGCUGAAUUGCAGCCGUUUUUCCCCACUGCGGGUCCUGGUUAGGCUGGAGCUGGAAGGGCCCGGCUUUGUCUGAAUAGACGGCACACAAAGGACAUCACUGAAGCUGAAAGGCUGGACGUCCUGUGGACCCGUGCCCCGGCCUGUCUGGUCUGUAGCAACGAUGAGCCAAAUUCCUCGCUGCUCGGCCUGCUGCCCCUGGAGCGGGGCCGGGGGGAUGUGGCUGCGUCGCAGCGAGGGGAUGCCGAGCCCCGGCACUCUGGCACGCGUUGGGGUGGGCUUGCAAGCUCUGAAGGUGCAAGUCCAGGCCGCGCAUGCACGCGUCCUCUGCAAAGCGCUGGUCGGCUUUUGCUGCUUCAGCAAAUAUGAUGGGCAAGAAAAAGGAAGAGGAAAAGAAUGCAAUUGCCCCAGAGGAGAGUGAGUCCUGCAUCUGUGGUUAUUUCGGGUUUGCUGCGAUGCACAAACGAGGAAGGAUGGACUAGCAACGCCCCAGCUGCUGCUUUGCAACGGGGCAUUGAGGAGAGAGCCCGCCUCGAUCCCAGUUCGUAAUCCCGGUUUAAUACUCCACAGAAAGGUUCAAAAUCCACCGGGUCUCCUGCCAGCACGUUGGGGCGGAGGGAAAUUCCUCCGGUGCUUUCAGACGGAAAGUAUGGCAUCUGCGUGGCCCGGGCAGACGUCCAGCACGGGUAACUGCGGGUCGCCUGGCCAACCCCCGUAUCCCGCACCGUCCCGGGUGCAGCGGGGAGCUGGGGGUCCUCGCAGCCGGCCCCAGCUUGGGGCAGGAGUUUGCCACGGCUGGGCAGCGAGCAGGGAGGACCGUCGGGGACCGUGCUCCUUCCACGCUGAUACCUCCGUAGAGGUACAAGCUCGGCAGUGGAAAACACGCAGUUUCCAGCUUUUGACCCUUUAAUACAAAAUGCGAGCGGAAAAGUCCUGCGAGCAGCUUGGGAGGCUGGUUUGCUCAGAGCCGUGCAUGGCAUUGGGGCUGCUGGGGGGAAUCUCUGACGUCUCGUAAAAGGCUGAGCUUGCAGCCACUGGGACAUUAGUAAGAUCUUUCUUUUCUCUUCCCCCCGCCCCGCAGCGUUUCAGUCCCCUUCUAAGGAAACGGGAUUUAAAAGGAAACCAUUUAUUCUGGAGCCAGCGGAGGGAGUAGAAACGCCCCUAAAGCCGACCCUGCGGCCGAGGGGGAUCUGCCGCCAGCCAUUCUUGUGCUUCCAGCGCAGCGCUGUGCUCGGAGCCGGCAGCGGGGCGGGCUCGGCGUGUGCAUGCGUGUGCACGCACAAGUUUCACAGCCUCCUGUGUAACCAGAAUAAUUAGCCCAUCUUGGGCCCUAGAAAUCUUAUCCAGUGUCCCUUGAAGUGGCUUGGUUGUUUGAAAGCAGGUUCCCGAUGGGAUUUUCCUGCAAAGCUGCAAAACUGGCACUGGGGAUGCUGAUGGGAUGCGGGGGCUACAUGCGGGGCAAGGCUGGGACCGGUGGUUUUGCUGCAUUUUGGACUUUGGGAAUCUCGAAGCAGCAGUUUAAGGCAGGAAGAGAGGAGGGGGUGGCUGAAUCCGAGGAAGGACACGCUGGGCUCGUCACCCCGCGCCGGGCAGCGGUCCAGCAGGAGCAAACGGCAUGUGCAUUUCUCAUCGCCCACGUGCUGCGGAUAUGUAAACAGCGGGAUGCUUAGGAAGGGGCUUGGCAGCCUCUUCGUCUUUUCCACUCUCACGCAGACAACAGAAAACCUGCCUGGAGAGAUACAGAAGGAGAAAGAGCUUCAUCCUUCCCAGCUCCACCCGAAAUCAGGGCCCAGGGACCACAGGCCCCAGCUGCCCUGUCCCCUUUGAGCUCGGUGUGCUGAUCUGCUGGGACCAUAACGGUUUGUCUCUCUAGAUAUAUUUUUUCCCUUUGCUUGGGAUGACACAAUACACCCACGAGGGAGGCAAAUGUCACACCAGCCCGUUGCCUUCACGUAGACGCGAGCUCGUGUCCAAAUUCAGUCCAGCAGUUUAACCCCCAGAGCAGUCUAGGAUGUAUCUGCAAAAAGCCAGGACUGGUUUGCGGGGGGCAAGAGGACCAGCUGGUGGUGAAUUGAGGACACACUAACGAUGAGAACAGAGAUAAGGCAGUUUUAGGGAUUUUUGUUUCCUUUGUGAGAGAAGAAUGGUUGGGCUUGAAUGGAGGUUGCCCAGUUGAACUUCAUUUGGUAUUUCUAGUCUUUUUAGUGCUUUUCACAGCUUUAAUGAUAUUUUUGAUGUCCUUUCGCUGUGUGUGAUAGAUAAAUAGUGUCAUAUAUAAUGUUUAAUACAUUUAACCAUACAUUUCUCUCGGUCUGAGGUUGCCUAUAUCCCAGAAUAAUGUUUCUGUGUGCAGGACCGUUAGCAAAAAGAAAGGUCUCUCGUAUGUCCCUGUACAUCAAAACCCACUUACUCUGCCUAGCCUAAAUACGCCUGCCUGUUUAAAACACACCAUCAGAAAAUCACAGUGUGGAUUUCCUAGCUACUGUAUAGCUCUCCAGUGAAAACCUGGCAGGCAAGAGGUGGGAGGCUGGAUUUCUGGAAAAUUCAAGGAGCCCACAUGAUGCAACUCUGAUGCAUUCUUGCAGAGCGAUGUCUGCUAAUGUAAUCUUCAGUGGGGGCCGUUAACAUUUUGUUCCAGAUGUUAACGGGCUGUGGCUACACAUUCAAGCUUUUCGAGGGUCAGAUGUCUGUCCUGGCAGAGCUCUGGGGUUUGUGCUCCUUGUCCUGCAGAGCGUCAGGGAGAGUUAUGUUAAUUUUAGGAGCAAAUGCCACUGUUAGAUUUCCAUUUUCAUCGUUUUAUAACUUGAAGAGAGGAAAGCUGUUGAUUGUCCAACGGAUCUUCUGUUUUCCAUUUUAGAGUUAACCACCGCUGUUUGCAGUCUUCACUGAGAGAGCAAAAAAAAUGUUUGGCGUCUGCAAAUGUUUCUUUCUUGCUUCUUCCUAGCAAAUCGCCCUCUGGCCGUUGGACACAGCAAGUCUUGCAGAGUCUGAGCUGUGCACGUGGCUGAGCCCCGUCACACUUGGCUGGUGUCCUGGCCACUGGGAACUGGAAUGCCUUGGCAAGUAACUGGGAUGGGACGGACAGGGUUGAAGUGCCUUUUGACUGUUUCUGUAGUUAAAUUAGCCAGUGUGGGCACUGGGAGUAGUUUGGCCACACUCUCCUGCCAGUGCAUAGACCAGGGGAUAUAUCCGUAACAUGCUGAUGAAGAUGUUACUGUGAUCCCUACGAUGCUAAGAGAAGCAUUAAACCUUGGAAGAUUUUUUUCCCCUCUUCCAAGCUGGUCCAGCAAAUCCCAGAAGUCAUCAUGGUAGUACUGAGUCAUGGGAUUAGUCAGGCACUCAGGAGAUGUCUAUGGCUGCAAUAAGAACAGAAAUGCAGGUCCUGGAGCAGGGAAAGCCCCAUGGCUGUUAUUGCCCAGCUGUUCAAUGGAAGAUGGCCAAGACCUCACAGGGCUCAGCAUCUGCUCAUCUGUGAUGAGCUCUGGCUCAUCACAUAUGAAGAUCUUCCUCUGCAGUUUCCAAGCAUUUAGUAAAGCUGGGCAAGGAUGAUCGUCCUGGCUUAAAAGUUGGGGAAACUGAGGCACAGGUCACAAGUCUGGGGCAGAACCAGAGCCCAGGAGUCCUGUACUGGGAGUCCUGUACCGGUUUCCCUGGCGUGUGCUGCAUCUGUUCUCCAAAAGGAUGCUGAGCAUUUUAUAGAGUCGCAGAGGCAUCUUCUCUCCCCCUGGACAGAUAAUCUGGAGGUGCCAUGGGAUGCUGAACUGCUGUUUGCCAGCUGUUCUUAAGCGGAGCAGAGGCUCCAUGAUUACUCCAGCUCAAAUCCCACCUGACGAUGGGGAUGGAAGCACUUUUAUAUCUGCUCUCAGGGCCAGGAAGGCAGCUGCAUGGCACCCCAUGGCCACAGAGCAGCCGCUAUGCCACCCCUCUGCAUCCCUGUCUCCUCUCCCACCUUCUGGCCAGGCAAGAACAGGCUCUUGCUUUGUGUUUGCACCAUGGGACCAUCACCUAUGAUACUUCUCCAACUGGGAUAUCCGAGCUUUGCUUUAAGCAAGGAGCUUUCUGUUUCCUGCAGUGGGAGAGGAUGCACAGACUGCCCCUUUGCACCUCUGGCUACGAGGCUGCCCAAAGGCAGCACAGUUCAUGCUCUGAGCCUGACACACGGUGAAUGAAACAUUUCUUGCAUUGCGCCCGGGGUCUGAGAGGCUGUUUGCAACCCCAGAGUUGGCGCUGGUGCUGAUGAACUUGGUUUUGCACACAAGGGCUCUUGUUUAGCACACGGCAGAGGCGGUUGGGCAAGCAUGAGAGAGGUGGGGUAGGAGGACGAGAUGAAUGGGGACCGUUGUUUCCCUCCUGAUUACCUUUGGGGGAUGCUGGACGAUUAGCAGCCAUGCACAAACGACUUGCGUUCAGUCUUUCAAAAUCUAUUUGCACUUUUGGAUGCUGCUGGCUUGGAGGACAGGACCUGUAGCCCCCUGUGAUCGCUCCUGGUUCAGUACCCAGCAGCAUGCUGAGGUUAUUAAGACAUGCAUGAAUCAAAGCCUCUUAGAGCCACCCUUCUCCUCCCCUGCAUGCAUGUGGCUCAGCCCCAUCCAGCUGGGAUUUAUUUCAAGUUCAUUUGCUGCCCGAACAUAGAGAAGAAGCAGCAAAGAAUGAAAGGCAGCUCCUGAGCUUGGAAUAGUUCAGAGCAUGAAUAAAGGGCUGCAGUUUAUUUAAAGGGAAACACUCAAGUCCUAAGUGUUAAGGUCACAGGUAUCUGUUGGAUAUGGUAAUACCCAGCUGCGGUUACUGUUGACUGUGGUUUCCAAUGCCAAUGCAGCGUGCUGGACAUCAUAAAUAGUGCAGAAAUUGUAAUUUGUACAUUAUGCAAAUUCUAAAUUGUAAAAAAGCCCAGGACAACAGUUUGCUUCCAGGCUGGGACAGCCCCAGAUCCAAAAUUUCAGUUUCUGUUCAAGCCCAGCAGUGAUUCCUGCCCAGGCAGUCUCCUUUGAACCCGUAUCUUUGAGCUGUAACUCACCUAACACGUGCUCCCUUCAUGGUCCUUUUCUAGAAGGAGACCUCCCAGGCACCUCUUCAGGGAAUAUGCUUGUGAUGAGAGGUCUGCAAAGUAAAAUGCAGAACGUUUGGUGUCUCCUGUUCACUUUGAUUCAUGGAUGUCCUCCAGUGCCAGGUUUCCAGGUCAGGUUUCAAAUUUUUUUCAGGAAUUCUCCCUGAGCAUCCCUUUUUCUCUGUCUUCAUUUUUUUCCUUCUGUUUGCUUUUAUUUUUCAACUUUUGAGAGAUUUCCCCCCCUUUCCCAUUCUCCAGCUGGACACAGUUGCCAGGAGUCAGAGAAAAGCCAUUUCUCUGGCUCUUUGAUGGACCUUGUGCCUGCUGAGACUCCAUGGGCACCUUUGUCACACUUAACCUGGUGCAAUUGCCCACGAAAGGGCUACCCUAUUCCUUCUCCCACAGUCCCCUUUCCACAUUUCCUUUUCCUUCCUCACACUGCAUGUCAUUCAUGCAAAUCCAGGGAGAAUCCAUUCAGUGAGCUGGUCUGAUGGUGAAUUGCUCGGUUGUUGCUGGUGUUCAGAACUGCAGGCAGAUGACUAGGCUGCCUGCGUAUCUUAAGACCCAGGAGGUGAGCUUGGAUUCUCCUACGGCAUCGACAUCCCUCAGUCACUACGGGAAGUGGCAGCCAGGCCAGGAGAAGAAUGGAGCCCAGAGCACCUGGAAACCCUAGGCAGAAACAUAUGGAUCUUCCCCCAGGGAAAAAGUUGCUACAGGAGUGCUGUUGGGGGCCAGGUAUUGAGUGGCAGAGUUGGUCUUGGUACUGGGAAACUCUGCUGUGUUUGCUUCAUUUGAUGGUCAUGGCUGGGAAUUUGGUGGGAGUUGGGAUGUACCUUAAAAAAAAGGUUUGGAUCUCAAAUGGAGCAUGGAAGAUGGGGAAGUGAGGGGUGGUCUGAGCGAGAAGUAUACGUGAAGAUGCAGCAGAGAUCCCAACGCAAUAAGUGCUAGUGGCUACAGUGGUGGUGGAAGUUUCUAUAGGGCAUCAUGACCCUACACAGCUCAUCUGGCUUUAGCAAAGAAAUGUUAGGUGUUUCAUCAAAUCUCCUUUCUUUGCUGGCAUUAUGCAUCCUAUGUGCCAUGGUGGGAUGAAUUAUCUGCUAGAGAUGGCUCUCUGUCAACUGUGGAGGAGCUGAGAUGAGGAGCUCACACGAACCAGGUGCUGAUCUGCAUAGCUAAGGUCGGCGAACAGCAUCAGCAGCCCUGCGGGGUUCCCCCCAAAACUGUCUUCUUCAUUUGAUGGCUUUGGGAAUCUCUCCCUUAACUAUAUAUUGAAAAAGACCCUUGGGUUUUGGCGUUUGUGUAUUUUUAUUCCUGGACGUGAUAGCUGAUGGUUCUUUCAGGCCCACUGCGCAGCUCCUCUCCAAUGUUACAGGCACAGCUUUGGCAUGAAUGGAGUUUUCAUUAGGAUGGUCACUCCAGGAGAUCCAAUUCACUGUUCCUUUGAGAUAAAGUCAGAAGGAGUGAUUUUUCAAGCCAAAAGGGAAAUCCACAACACUUCAUUUGAAUGAAACAUUUUGUUUCUUUUUUGUUUCACUCUUCUUCUGAAUUAAAAGGCGAAAUGUAGCCUUGAAACAUCAUUUUCAGACAAAGAACACAAAAAAAUUUUGAAGACAUCGAAAUAAACUGCUUAGUUUUUUUUCUCA